rnacentral:rRNA from 1 species
CCAGACUCCUACGGGAGGCAGCAGUGAGGAAUAUUGGUCAAUGGUCGGGAGACUGAACCAGCCAAGCCGCGUGAGGGAUGAAGGUACAGAGUAUCGUAAACCUCUUUUGUCAGGGAACAAAGGCGGGGACGUGUCCCCGGAUGAGUGUACCUGAAGAAAAAGCAUCGGCUAACUCCGUGCCAGCAGCCGCGGUAAUACGGAGGAUGCGAGCGUUAUCCGGAUUUAUUGGGUUUAAAGGGUGCGCAGGCGGUCUGUUAAGUCAGGGGUAAAAGCCGGGGGCCCACCCUGCGUCCGCCGUUGAAACUGGCGUUCUUGAGUGGGCGAGAAGUACGCGGAAUGCGUGGUGUAGCGAUGAAAUGCAUAGAUAUCACGCAGAACCCCGAUUGCGAAGGCAGCGUACCGGCGCCCGACUGACGCUGAAGCACGAAAGCGUGGGUAUCGAACAGGAUUAGAUACCCCGGUAU